rnacentral:piRNA from 1 species
UACAUGGUUACAUGGGACCACGAAAUGCAA